rnacentral:rRNA from 1 species
AUGGGCACGGCAGGGAAGCCGCCGGCGCAGCCGGAGCCCGCGUCGGUGGCGGCGGCGAGGAAGCUGCACCUCCUCCUCCGCUCCCGCGACCUGCGCCCGGCGCUCGAGUACCUCAGCUCCCUCCCCUCGCCGCUCACCCUCCUCCCCAACCACGCCCUCAACGCCCUCCUGCGCGCGCUCGCCGCCGCCGGCCGCGUCCGCGCCGCCACCGACCUCUUCCGCCGCAUCCCCGCCCCCACCGCGCACUCCUUCAACUCCCUCCUCGCCGCCCUCCUCCGCCGCGGCCGCGGCCGCGCGGCCAACGCCGUCCUGGCCGCCUUCCUCCGCUCCCCACGGGCCACACCCGACGCCGCCACCCUAAACACCCUCCUCCACGGCCUCUCCACCGCCUCCCCGCGCCCGUCGCCUCCCGCGCUCGUCAGGCUCUUCCGCUUCCUGCCGGAGACCUACGCCUUCGCCCCCGACGCCAUCUCCUACAACUCCCUGCUCUCCGCUCUAUGCCGUGCCGGUGACCUGCACGCCGCGCGCAAGCUGUUCGACAAAAUGCGCGUCGGAGAAAAGGACUGCAAAGCUUCUGUGUCUCCCAAUGUCAUCACUUACACGACCAUGAUCAAGGCGUACUGUGUAAGGGGCCUGGCCGACGAGGCGCUCGCGGUCUUCAACAUGAUGUCUGCAGAUGGUGUGGCGCCAAACAGGAUCACCUACAACACGAUGAUCCAGGGGUUCUGCGAGGCCGGCAGGAUGGAGCUGGUGAAGGGGUUGCUGGAGACGGACUCAUUUAAGCCAGACACGUGCACAUUCAACACACUGAUGGCCGCACAUUGUGGCGAAGGGCGGGUCAAGGAGGCGAUGGAGGUGUUCGGCCAAAUGGCGGAGCUCCGCGUGAGUCGUGACUCUGCGAGCUAUAGCACGGUGAUCAGGGCAUUGUGCGACAACAGGGAGUUCGUGAAGGCUGAGGCGCUUGUGGAUGAGCUUUUGGAGAAGGAGGUGCUGACGAAACGAGGGGGUUGUGUACCGCUCAUUGCGGCAUACAACCCAGUUUUUGUGUACCUGUGUGAGAAUGGGAAGGCAAAGAAGGCAAGGGUGUUGUUUGGGCAACUGUUGGAUCGGAGGAGCAAGGUCGACUUCGCUGCAUUCAAGACAUUGAUUCUAGGGCAUUGCAAGGAAGGAGAUUUUGAAGAAGGGUACCAGCUGGUGCUCUCGAUGUUGAAGAGGGAUCUCGUGCCUGAUGAUGAAUGCUACAUUGCCAUCGUAGAGGGAUUUUCACAGAAAGGAAGGAUGAAGGUUGCGUGGGAGGCCCUACACAGGAUGCUGAAUAGUGGUCUCCGACCUAGCACUAGCACGUUCCACUCGGUUCUCUUGGGACUUCUGAAAAAGGAAGGUUGCGCAAAAGAAGCUGCAGAUUUGAUCGAGAUAAUGCUAGAGAGGAAGAUCCGCCAGAAUUUGGAUCUUUCGACCAAUACGAUUGACGCAUUGUUCAAAAGCAACCUAAACGACCGUGCUUACAAAAUCAUCACAUCUCUAUAUGACCAAGGCUAUUACAUCAAGAUGGAAAAACUAAUCGGGGACCUCUGCGAGGAAAAGAAGUUCACAGAGGCAGCCGAACUCACCUUGUUUAGCCUGCAGAAGCGUCAUGAUUUGGGUGUGUCGGUAUCCAGUACGGUUCUGGAUGGCCUUUGCGCAACUGGUAGAGCUUCAGAUGCGUUCCGGCUUUUCUACGAACUCAUUGAGAGCGGAAACAGUUCUGGUGCCGUUGAACCUCGCAGUUUGGUUGCGCUUCGUCAUGCGCUUGAUGAAGAUGGGAAAAAGAAAGAAGCUGAUUUUGUUGCUAAACAGAUGAGGCGUGCGGCUGCCAGAAUUAGGGAAAUGGUCUAA